GCUCCCGUAGCUCAAUUGGAGAGAGCAUCCGGCUUCUACCCGGUCUGUUGCAGGUUCGAGUCCUGCCGGGAGCG
rnacentral:tRNA from 1 species